rnacentral:rRNA from 1 species
UACGUAGGGUGCGAGCGUUAAUCGGAAUUACUGGGCGUAAAGCGUGCGCAGGCGGUUUUGUAAGCCAGAUGUGAAAUCCCCGGGCUCAACCUGGGAAUGGCAUUUGGGGCUGCAAGGCUUGAGUGCGGCAGAGGAGACUGGAAUUCCUGGUGUAGCAGUGAAAUGCGUAGAUAUCAGGAGGAAUACCGAUGGCGAAGGCAGGUCUCUGGGCUGACACUGACGCUCAUGCACGAAAGCGUGGGGAGCAAACAGG